GACGAACGCUGGCGGCGUGCUUAACACAUGCAAGUCGAACGGUAAGGCCCUUCGGGGUACACGAGUGGCGAACGGGUGAGUAACACGUGGGUGAUCUGCCCCGCACUUCGGGAUAAGCCUGGGAAACUGGGUCUAAUACCGGAUAGGACCCUGGGAUGCAUGUCCUGGGGUGGAAAGCUUUUGCGGUGUGGGAUGGGCCCGCGGCCUAUCAGCUUGUUGGUGGGGUGAUGGCCUACCAAGGCGACGACGGGUAGCCGGCCUGAUGGGGUGACCGGCCACACUGGGACUGGGAUACGGCCCAGACUCCUACGGGAGGCAGGAGUGGGGAAUAUUGCCCAAUGGGCGCAAGCCUGAUGCAGCGACGCCGCGUGCGGGAUGACGGCCUUCGGGUUGUAAACCUCUUUCAGCACCGACGAAGCGCAAGUGACGGUAGGUGCAGAAGAAGGACCGGCCAACUACGUGCCAGCAGCCGCCGUAA
rnacentral:rRNA from 1 species